rnacentral:misc_RNA from 1 species
GAGGAGCCGACUAUCCCUAGGUGGGAGACACACCCGCCAGGGUGGGUGCUGCAGGAACAGAAAUGGGCCCUGGGUGAGCUUGUACCGUGACCCCUUAGCAGGGCGAGGGUGCUCAGCCAAUAGGUUGGAACAUACUGUGGUGGCAACAUCCUGACAGUUCGAUACACGUGGCAGUCCUUGUGCUGUA